CAGCAGCAGCAGCAUCUCCAACUGUCCAACCAGGGACGCAAAAAAUAACUUUCGAAUCGGAUGAAAUCUAUGUGAAGUCAAAGGAGAACUCGAGCAGAUGUGGAGCAAUAGCAAAUGGAUGGACAGAUCGAUUCGCUUGGUUGGACUCAUUAGGGAUAAUGAUUUUCAAAUCAGCUUAGGAAAAGCCUUGUAAGAAGAGAUCAACAUAACCGACAUCAAAAUCUUAUCAAUCAAAGUCUUAUGAUAUGGAGCUUCGAUCUGGAAAAAUGUAAGAUGAAAGAUAUCUGUGAAUGCAAAAACAUGUAAACAUUCUGCUGAAAACGCAAAAUAGAAUGUUUUCUAUAUAAUGUAAAUCAUAUAUAUAGUUUAUAUAGAGCAGAAUAAUUAGUAGUUCCAUAUGAGCUAAGGAAUGAUUUCAUUAUA